rnacentral:rRNA from 1 species
CCCUAGUAACGGCGAAGUGAAGCGGCAACAGCUCAAAUUUGAAAUCUGGCCCUCGGGUCCGAAGUUGUAAUUUGUAGAGGAUGCUUUUGGCGCGGUGCCUUCCGAGUUCCCUGGAACGGGACGCCUUAGAGGGUGAGAGCCCCGUACGGUUGGACACCAAGCCUCUGUAAAGCUCCUUCGACGAGUCGAGUAGUUUGGGAAUGCUGCUCUAAAUGGGAGGUAAAUUUCUUCUAAAGCUAAAUAUUGGCCAGAGACCGAUAGCGCACAAGUAGAGUGAUCGAAAGAUGAAAAGCACUUUGAAAAGAGGGUUAAAUAGCACGUGAAAUUGUUGAAAGGGAAGCGUUUGCGACCAGACCUUUUCCUGGCGGAUCAUCCGGUGUUCUCACCGGUGCACUUCGCCAGGUUGAGGCCAGCAUCGGUUUCCGCAGGGGGAUAAAAGCUCUGGGAAUGUAGCUCCCUCGGGAGUGUUAUAGCCCUCUGCAUAAUACCCUUGCGGGGACCGAGGACCGCGCUUCGGCAAGGAUGCUGGCAUAAUGGUCGUCAACGACCCGUCUUGAAACACGGACCAAGGAGUCGAACAUUUGUGCGAGUGUUUGGGUGUUAAACCCUCACGCGUAAUGAAAGUGAACGGAGGUGAGAGCCCUUACGGGUGCAUCAUCGACCGAUCCUGAUGUCUUCGGAUGGAUUUGAGUAAGAGCAUAACUGUUCGGACCCGAAAGAUGGUGAACUAUGCGUGGAUAGGGUGAAGCCAGAGGAAACUCUGGUGGAGGCUCGCAGCGGUUCUGACGUGCAAAUCGAUCGUCAAAUCUGCGCAUGGGGGCGAAAGACUUAUCGAACCAUCUAGUAGCUGGUUACCGCCGAAGUUUCCCUCAGGAUAGCAGUGUUGUUCUUCAGUUUUAUGAGGUAAAGCGAAUGAUUAGGGACUCGGGGGCGCUUUUUAGCCUUCAUCCAUUCUCAAACUUUAAAUAUGUAAGAAGCCCUUGUUACUUAAUUGAACGUGGGCAUUCGAAUGUACCAACACUAGUGGGCCAUUUUUGGUAAGCAAACUGGCGAUGCGGGAUGAACCGAACGCGGGGUUAAGGUGCCGGAAUGGACGCUCAUCAGACACCACAAAAGUGUU